GACGAACGCUGGCGGCGUGCUUAACACAUGCAAGUCGAACGGAAAGGCCCUGCUUUUGUGGGGUGCUCGAGUGGCGAACGGGUGAGUAACACGUGAGUAACCUGCCCUUGACUUUGGGAUAACUUCAGGAAACUGGGGCUAAUACCGGAUAGGAGCUCCUGCUGCAUGGUGGGGGUUGGAAAGUUUCGGCGGUUGGGGAUGGACUCGCGGCUUAUCAGCUUGUUGGUGGGGUAGUGGCUUACCAAGGCUUUGACGGGUAGCCGGCCUGAGAGGGUGACCGGCCACAUUGGGACUGCGGUACGGCCCAGACGCCUACGGGAGGCAGCAGUGGGGAAUAUUGCACAAUGGGCGGAAGCCUGAUGCAGCAACGCCGCGUGCGGGAUGACGGCCUUCGGGUUGUAAACCGCUUUCGCCUGUGACGAAGCGUGAGUGACGGUAAUGGGUAAAGAAGCACCGGCUAACUACGUG
rnacentral:rRNA from 1 species